CCUACGGGUGGCUGCAGUGGGGAAUAUUGCACAAUGGGGGAAACCCUGAUGCAGCAACGCCGCGUGGGUGAAGGAGCGUUUCGGCGCGUAAAGCCCUGUCAGCGGGGAAGCAGAAAUAGCGACCUUUGGGUCGCCAGACGGUACCUGAUUAAGAAGCACCGGCUAACCACGUGCCAGCAGCCGCGGUAAUACGUAGGGGCCAAGCGUUAUCCGGAUUUACUGGGUGAAAAGGGAGCGUAGACGUCAGCGCGAGACUGAAGUGAAAUGCCGGGGCUUAACCCCGGAACUGCUUUGGAAACUGGGCAGCUAGAGUGCGAGAGAGGUAAGUGGAAUUCGUAGUGUAGCGGUGAAAUGCGUAGAUAUUAGGAGGAACACCAGUGGCGAAGGCAGCUUGCUGGACUGUAACUGACGUUGAGGCUCGAAAGCGUGGGGAGCGAACAGGAUUAGAUACCCGGGUAGUC
rnacentral:rRNA from 1 species